UACGUAGGGUGCAAGCGUUGUCCGGAAUUAUUGGGCGUAAAGAGCUCGUAGGCGGCUUGUCGCGUCUGCUGUGAAAACCCGAGGCUCAACCUCGGGCCUGCAGUGGGUACGGGCAGACUAGAGUGCGGUAGGGGAGAUUGGAAUUCCUGGUGUAGCGGUGGAAUGCGCAGAUAUCAGGAGGAACACCAACGGCGAAAGCACUCUGCUGGGCCGACACUGACACUGAGAGACGAAAGCUAGGGGAGCGAAUGGG
rnacentral:rRNA from 1 species